rnacentral:lncRNA from 1 species
ACCUCCCCUGCCCUUUCUUGCCUCAGCACGCUCCCAUGAGUCUUCUGCCUUUCACCAGCGAUCAUCUGAUCCAGACCUACAGGAAGGCUUCCACUCACAAAUAGACGAACUACACUAACUUGUAACAGCAGAUUGAGUAAAAGAGUCACAUACCUGAUGUCUAGUCCUGGUUUUCAUACCUGUAAUCCAACCACAGCAAACACAGGGAAGGAAAGCACAACCACACUUACACAAAAGUCAGAUGUGUACUUGCAAUACAAACAUCAAAGAAACAGACCACCACCCUACUGUCCAGAUGUGUUAAAACACUCUAAGACACACAACUGCCCAAAAGACCCUUCACUGUAAACAGUAACCCCAUACUCUUCAGGACACAAAAUAAUCCAUAGCAGGAUGAUUUCACAUGACCUCCAGGAGAGCAACAAAUGACCACAGUACAUCCAUCGCACGUAGGGGCAUGGGGAUGCAGGCAGAAGCAGCCAUGGGGUGAGGGAUGUGAACACACAGGGAAAGAGGGUUGCCAAUUCACAUGCUGGGAUAGAGAAGCCACCGGCACCAGAGUUCACCUUCCCCACGAGCUCCUUCCCUGGGCUUCGAGUGAUACCAGCAAACAGCUUCUUGCAGGAUGUGGCUGUGCAUUUCAGCAGGGAGAAGUGGGUGCUGCUGGGCCCUGCGCAAUGAGCAUUCAAUGCCAAGAUGCCACUGGCCUUCUCGGCCACACUGCUGGCUCAUAUUUGGCCCACAGUCAACCAGUA